UGAUCACCAGCGUUGGCUCCUCCUCGCCAUCUCGUUCUUCAACUUCUCUCCAUGGGGGUUCUGCGAAUCCCGUCUCUCGCCCUUCUCCUCUCCCCAUCAGAAUCCCUUCGCCUAUCUCCCCCUUCCCUCUCUCUCCGCCUCCGGCCGACUUCUCCCAUGGGCGGAGCCGGUAGCAGAGGCCUCUCCGCCCAGAGCGUCGCGAAGGAGGAGCCAUCGCCUUCCUUGCUCUCACCCACGCCCCCGCCUCCGUCCCUGAUCGAAAGCCCUCCAAGAUCUACGAGGGUUUCGUCACCCCUCGAUAGGUGGAUUUCAACUCGUGGUACCUUGACGUCAUCGCCAGUGCUGAGCUCGCGGACUAUGGCCCCGUUCGCGGUACUAUGGACAUCCGCGCUUUCGGCUACGCCAUAUGGGAGGCAAUACAGGAGUAUCUGAACGUGAAGUUUAAAGAAACCGGCCACAGCAACAUGUACUUCCCUCAGGUGAUAAUAGUGCCAAUCUGGAAGACAGCUGAUGAGAAAAUGGAGUCAUGGAUGCCAUAACCUUACUGAAGGAAGUACUGCAUAAAGCAGGAGUCAAAAUCAAAGUUGAUGAUUCGGAACAAAGGACUCCAGGAUGGAAAUUCAACUUCUGGGAGAUGAAGGUAAGAUUGUUACUCAGUGAUAGUAUCAUUUGCUUAUUUGUUGUAUGUUUCCACCUAAUUUUAAUGGCAUCUCCAUCACAGUGCAACAGGGCACUCAUUUGUGAUGUUAUUCUCAUAUGUCUUCUCCAACAGUUGUGUCCUUACUACUUCAUGUGAGCUGUGUGCUCUUACUGGUUCAUCUGAGAAACAAAUUUCAUUACUUUGUCUAUCUUUCUUGUUGAAUCAGUCAGUUUGGACUGUUUAAACCACCAAUAUAGUUGAUGGAGAAAUCUAAACCUCUAUCCCAACUGCUGAAUUUUUUAUUGAAUGUGAUCUACACAUUUUCUCCAUUUCUACCUUUUCAGUUGUGUCCCUUCGACACAGGAUUUUUUUGUUAUUUCAUCAAUCCAUCCUGAAAUGUGUGUGUAAGCCUGAUUGUUGCAUAAGUUGAUUCUUGCAUUUUGUUUCAUUAAAUCAUCUUUGUUGAAUCUUAUUGAGGAGUCAUUCAGUAUCUGAAAAACUAAGCUGUCUAUUUCAAUCUGACUUCCUUUUGGACAAUCGAUCUCCGGUGUCCCUUUAAAAUUAGAGGUUGGGCCUCCUGAUGUUGCUAACAGGAGUGUGGUGGUAUCUAGGAGAGAUGUACCUGGGAAGCCAGGUAAAGAUCUUGGGAUAUCCAUGGAGCCUUCAGUUUUGGUGUCUCAUGUAAAGAGCAGGUUGGAGGACAUCCAGGCAUCGCUCGAGAUAGUAAUAUUGCAGAUGUGAAUUAGUAUGAGGUGUUGAAGGAGGUAAUUACUGAAGGGAAAUGGGCUAGGGGUCCAUGGUCAGCUAGGUGCGAAGUCGAAUAGCUUAUUAUUCUAUUCUUUAUCAAACUAUGGAAAUUGUAACUAUAAGAUGAGAACCUGUCUACUAACUACAAUGCAAAUUUCAGUGAUGCUGAGGAACUAAAAGUAAAUGAAUAGGAUGCUUCCCUUUUGAACAGCCUCAAGGGUUUCAUGACUGGUAAUCCAGCUGAUGAAGUUGCUAUUUUUGCAAAAUCUUAUUAGGCUUUUGUGUACAAUAAUUGAAAUUCAUGAUUGAAAUUUCUAAUUGAGUCUUCCUCCUAGUUGCCCCCAUUUAACCACUUCAUAAUUAAUCUUGUGAAACUAUCAUGUAAUAAUAUUUAUCAACAGUUUGUCGAUCAUGUAGGUUUGAAGUAUGAAACAUCUAGGACCAUAACUUGAUACUAAUCAAUUUUCAUAGCAUCUGCAAUGAAGAUUGUAAUAUUUUUCAUUUUUCCUGUCCAAGUUGUAAUAUGGUGAUAAUGAUCAAAUAUAUCCGUACUAUGCCAUUUUUUCACUUGAAUGUCUUUUUUCACUUGAAAUAGCAUAGAAGCCUUUUUUCACUUGAAAUAGCAUAGAAGCCUUUUUUUUCUUUUGUCACAUUGAUUAGAUCCGUUUGUCAUUGUGAUUUUCCUCUGGUGGAGAACAUGCGACCAUCACUGAGCUUUUGCAAACACCAUGAACCAAGCGAAAAGUCGUUUCCAUGCAGGUAUAUAUCAUUAAUGUUCCACUGAAAUUCCAUAAAAUAACUUUGUUCAACUAUUUAUAUGAUAGCAUAGUAGCCUUGUAAGUGAGAGAAAUCGUGACAAACAGGAAUAGUCUCUCUAUUUCAGUUUGAUUGACAAUAUGGCAUGAUUUCAAUUGAUUAAACAAUAAUUCAUGUGUUUCUGCAGACUUGUAGAACAAAUAUAUUCUUGCUGCGGCUGCUGCUUUUUCUUUUAGCAUUUAACGUUGAGAACCGCCCUGUUUUUGGUGGUUUUAACAGUUUGAAAUAAGCUUAAGAGACUAAUUAGAUUAAUGCUGUGAGGAGAGGUUGAGGAAAUGAUUUUAUUUGGAAUUAUGGAUCAACAUUUUUAUUACUAGUUUUUGUUGACAUCGACGUGAUAACAUCGAAGCACUGAUUUCUCCAACUACAUUUGAAAAGCUAAA